GUGCAUCUCCUUCUUCUUAUCCCUGAACUGCUCCACCAGCCUCCUGACAAGGUGGAUAGCUUCUGUAGUAAAGCGACCCGGCAUGAAACCGAACUGGUUCACAGAUAUAAAUGUCAUCUCCCUCACCCUUCCCUCGAUCACCCGCUCCCAAACCUUCAUGGUGUGACUUAUUAUUGAUACCCCUGUAGUUGUUGCAGCACUGGAUGUCUCCUUUGUUCUUGUACAAGGGCACCACUGUACUCCACCUCN
rnacentral:lncRNA from 1 species